rnacentral:rRNA from 1 species
UACGUAGGGUCCAAGCGUUGUCCGGAUUUAUUGGGCGUAAAGAGCUCGUAGGCGGCUUAGUAAGUCGGAUGUGAAAACUCGGGGCUCAACCCCGAGACGCCAUCCGAUACUGCUGUGGCUUGAGUCUGGUAGGGGAACACGGAAUUCCUGGUGGAGCGGUGAAAUGCGUAGAUAUCAGGAGGAACACCGGUGGCGAAGGCGGCUACCUGGACAGAAACUGACGCUGAGGCGCGAAAGCUAGGGGAGCAAACAGG